rnacentral:rRNA from 1 species
GAUGAACGCUGGCGGCGUGCCUAAUACAUGCAAGUCGAGCGAACAGACGAGGAGCUUGCUCCUCUGACGUUAGCGGCGGACGGGUGAGUAACACGUGGAUAACCUACCUAUAAGACUGGGAUAACUUCGGGAAACCGGAGCUAAUACCGGAUAAUAUAUUGAACCGCAUGGUUCAAUAGUGAAAGACGGUUUUGCUGUCACUUAUAGAUGGAUCCGCGCCGCAUUAGCUAGUUGGUAAGGUAACGGCCUACCAAGGCAACGAUGCGUAGCCGACCUGAGAGGAGGGUGAGCCACACUGGAACGGAGCCACGGUCCAGACUCCUAAGGGAGGCAGCAGUGGGGAAUAUUGGACAAUGGGCGCAAGCCUGAUCCAGCAAUACCGCGUGGGUGAAGAAGGCCUUCGGGUUGUAAAGCCCUUUUGUUGGGAAAGAAAAGCAGCAGGUUAAUACACCGCUGUUCUGACGGUACCCAAAGAGUAAGCACCGGCUAACUUCGUG